rnacentral:rRNA from 1 species
UCAUUGCUGCAGCGGAUCCUCCGGGAUGCCGGGCACACUAUAGGGACCGCCCCUGAUCAACUGGAGGAAAGAGUGGACGAUAGUAGGUCCGUAUGCCCCCAAUCCCCUGGGCAACACGCGGGCUACAAUGGGUAUGAGAAUGGGUUUUGACAUUGAAAGGUGAAGGUAAUCUCCCAUACAUAUUCUUACUUUUGAUCGAGGGCUGUAACCCGCCCUCGUGAAGCUGGAAUGCGUAGUAAUCGCGUGUCAUAAUCGCGCGGUGAAUACGUCCCUGCUCCUUGCACCCACACCGUAGGGCUCUCCCUCGACAAUCAGUUUGGGCGUCCCUGCUCCUUGCACAA